UACGGAGGGUGCAAGCGUUGUUCGGAAUUAUUGGGCGUAAAGCGCGCGCAGGCGGGACAUCAAGUCUGGUGUGAAAUCCCUCGGCUCAACCGAGGACGUGCAUUGGAAACUGAUGUUCUUGAGUCCUGGAGAGGGUGGCGGAAUUCCCAGUGUAGAGGUGAAAUUCGUAGAUAUUGGGAGGAACACCAGUGGCGAAGGCGGCCACCUGGACAGUGACUGACGCUGAGGCGCGAAAGCGUGGGUAGCAAACAGG
rnacentral:misc_RNA from 1 species